rnacentral:rRNA from 1 species
UGCCUGAUGGAGGGGGAUAACUACUGGAACGGUAGCUAAUACCGCAUAACGUCGCAAGACCAAAGAGGGGGACCUUCGGGCCUCUUGCCAUCGGAUGUGCCCAGAUGGGAUUAGCUUGUUGGUGGGGUAACGGCUCACCAAGGCGACGAUCCCUAGCUGGUCUGAGAGGAUGACCAGCCACACUGGAACUGAGACACGGUCCAGACUCCUACGGGAGGCAGCAGUGGGGAAUAUUGCACAAUGGGCGCAAGCCUGAUGCAGCCAUGCCGCGUGUAUGAAGAAGGCCUUCGGGUUGUAAAGUACUUUCAGCGGGGAGGAAGGGAGUAAAGUUAAUACCUUUGCUCAUUGACGUUACCCGCAGAAGAAGCACCGGCUAACUCCGUGCCAGCAGCCGCGGUAAUACGGAGGGUGCAAGCGUUAAUCGGAAUUACU